AGUGAACGCUGGCGGUAGGCUUAACACAUGCAAGUCGAACGGCAGCACAGGAGAGCUUGCUCUCUGGGUGGCGAGUGGCGGACGGGUGAGGAAUACAUCGGAAUCUACUCUGUCGUGGGGGAUAACGUAGGGAAACUUACGCUAAUACCGCAUACGACCUACGGGUGAAAGCAGGGGACCUUCGGGCCUUGCGCGAUUGAAUGAGCCGAUGUCGGAUUAGCUAGUUGGCGGGGCAAAGGCCCACCAAGGCGACGAUCCGUAGCUGGUCUGAGGGGAUGGGCGGCCACACGGGAACCGAGACACGGUCCAGACUCCUACGGGAGGCAGCAGUUGGGAAUAUUGGGCAAUGGGCGCAAGCCUGAUCCAGCCAUACCGCGUGGGUGAAGAAGGCCUUCGGGUUGUAAAGCCCUUUUGUUGGGAAAGAAAUCCAGCUGGCUAAUACCCGGUUGGGAUGACGGUACCCAAAGAAUAAGCACCGGCUAACUUCGUGCCAGCCGCCGCCGUAA
rnacentral:rRNA from 1 species